rnacentral:rRNA from 1 species
AUAUUCCUGUACUUGGUGUUACUGCGAAGGGGGGACGGAGAAGGCUAUGUUGGCCGGGCGACGGUUGUCCCGGUUUAAGCGUGUAGGCUGGUUUUCCAGGCAAAUCCGGAAAAUCAAGGCUGAGGCGUGAUGACGAGGCACUACGGUGCUGAAGCGACAAAUGCCCUGCUUCCAGGAAAAGCCUCUAAGCAUCAGGUAACAUCAAAUCGUACCCCAAACCGACACAGGUGGUCAGGUAGAGAAUACCAAGGCGCUUGAGAGAACUCGGGUGAAGGAACUAGGCAAAAUGGUGCCGUAACUUCGGGAGAAGGCACGCUGAUAUGUAGGUGAAGCGACUUGCUCGUGGAGCUGAAAUCAGUCGAAGAUACCAGCUGGCUGCAACUGUUUAUUAAAAACACAGCACUGUGCAAACACGAAAGUGGACGUAUACGGUGUGACGCCUGCCCGGUGCCGGAAGGUUAAUUGAUGGGGUUAGCGGUAACGCGAAGCUCUUGAUCGAAGCCCCGGUAAACGGCGGCCGUAACUAUAACGGUCCUAAGGUAGCGAAAUUCCUUGUCGGGUAAGUUCCGACCUGCACGAAUGGCGUAAUGAUGGCCAGGCUGUCUCCACCCGAGACUCAGUGAAAUUGAACUCGCUGUGAAGAUGCAGUGUACCCGCGGCAAGACGGAAAGACCCCGUGAACCUUUACUAUAGCUUGACACUGAACAUUGAGCCUUGAUGUGUAGGAUAGGUGGGAGGCUUUGAAGUGUGGACGCCAGUCUGCAUGGAGCCGACCUUGAAAUACCACCCUUUAAUGUUUGAUGUUCUAACGUGGGCCCCUUACCGGGGUUGCGGACAGUGUCUGGUGGGUAGUUUGACUGGGGCGGUCUCCUCCUAAAGAGUAACGGAGGAGCACGAAGGUUGGCUAAUCCUGGUCGGACAUCAGGAGGUUAGUGCAAUGGCAUAAGCCAGCUUGACUGCGAGCGUGACGGCGCGAGCAGGUGCGAAAGCAGGUCAUAGUGAUCCGGUGGUUCUGAAUGGAAGGGCCAUCGCUCAACGGAUAAAAGGUACUCCGGGGAUAACAGGCUGAUACCGCCCAAGAGUUCAUAUCGACGGCGGUGUUUGGCACCUCGAUGUCGGCUCAUCACAUCCUGGGGCUGAAGUAGGUCCCAAGGGUAUGGCUGUUCGCCAUUUAAAGUGGUACGCGAGCUGGGUUUAGAACGUCGUGAGACAGUUCGGUCCCUAUCUGCCGUGGGCGCUGGAGAACUGAGGGGGGCUGCUCCUAGUACGAGAGGACCGGAGUGGACGCAUCACUGGUGUUCGGGUUGUCAUGCCAAUGGCACUGCCCGGUAGCUAAAUGCGGAAGAGAUAAGUGCUGAAAGCAUCUAAGCACGAAACUUGCCCCGAGAUGAGUUCUCCCUGACUCCUUGAGAGUCCUGAAGGAACGUUGAAGACGACGACGUUGAUAGGCCGGGUGUGUAAGCGCAGCGAUGCGUUGAGCUAACCGGUACUAAUGAACCGUGAGGCUUAACCUU